rnacentral:pre_miRNA from 1 species
AAUGCAAUUGCUGGAUUAUAUGGUAAAUUUAUGUUUAGAGUGUUAGGAAACCAUAAAGCUAUUUUCCAGAGUGCCUGUACCAUUUUACAUUCCACCAGCAAU